GAUCAUUAACGAGCGAGGGCCCACGGGGCCCGACCUCCCACCCUUUGACGUCGCGAUACCGUUGCUUCGGCGGGACCGCCCUCGUGGCGGCCGGGUGUUUGCUCGCGAACCUCCCGCCGGGGGACCACCCCAACACCGAUUUUUCAACCGUGCGGUCGGAGUUUGACAAACAACAAACAAAACUUUCAACAACGGAUCUCUUGGUUCUGGCAUCGAUGAAGAACGCGGCGAAAUGCGAUAAGUAAUGUGAAUUGCAGAAUUCAGUGAAUCAUCGAAUCUUUGAACGCACAUUGCGCCCCUUGGCAUUCCGAGGGGUAUGCCUGUUCGAGCGUCAUUUCACCAAUCAAGCAGCGCUUGGUGUUGGGUGCCCGGCCGGCCCCCCGGGGCCGGCCCACCCCCAAACGAUCGGCGAGGCGUGGACCCCGGGCGUGUUAGAAUCUCGAAACGUCAGGAGCACCCACGGCCCCCAGCCGUCAAAAAACCCCCACUCAAGGUUGACCUCGGAUCAGGUAGGAAUACCCGCUGAACUUAAGCAUAUCAAUAAGCGGAGGAAAAGAAACCAACAGGGAUUGCCUCAGUAACGGCGAGUGAAGCGGCAACAGCUCAAAUUUGAAAUCUGGCCCCCCCGGGGCCCGAGUUGUAAUUUGUAGAGGAUGCUUCUGGGGCGCCACCGGUCUAAGUUCCUUGGAACAGGACGUCACAGAGGGUGAGAAUCCCGUACGUGACCGGCCAGGCCCCCUCGGUGAAGCUCCUUCGACGAGUCGGGUUGUUUGGGAAUGCAGCCCUAACUUGGAGGUAAAUUUCUUCUAAAGCUAAAUACCGGCCAGAGACCGAUAGCGCACAAGUAGAGUGAUCGAAAGAUGAAAAGCACUUUGGAAAGAGAGUCAAAAAGCACGUGAAAUUGUUGAAAGGGAAGUGCUCGCCAUCAGUCUCGACGGCGGCCGUUCGGCCCCCCUUCUGAGGGGUUUACUCGGCCGCCGCCGGGCCAGCGUGCGGUUCCGGCGGCCGGAAAAAGGCGGAGGGAAAGUAGC
rnacentral:misc_RNA from 1 species